UGGACUCGCGGGCUAAGGAAUAGUGCUGUGAGGGCAGGGGGUGCUAGUGGUGGUGGUGGUGACGCUGAGGAGGCAGGGAUUUGUGUUACAUUGCUUUGGUCGGCACUGGUCAGUCUUGCCACACACUUUCCUAAUAGUGAUCAGUGCAUAUUCCUGGCGGUGGUGGUGGUGUGAUUACAUUGGCAGGGGCGCUGGGGAAGGAGGGAUUGGUGUUACAUUGUUUUAGUCAGCACUGGCCAGUCUUGCCACACACACUCCUAAUAGCGAUCAGUGUUUGCAUAUUCCCGGCAGCUUCUUCCUCCAUCAAGCAGCACCAGAGAGACACAGCUACUUAAGAUACCGUGUGGACUCCCUCAGGAGCAGACGUGUGGCCGUGACCUCCUGCGUUACCAAGAUUAAGGACUUCGUUGAAGGUAAAUUGUGCUCUGACAGUGGGACUCCAGCUAUGGAGUACGCCACGUCAUUGACAUCCACUAGCCAGUUAGUACUCGGUCACUUCAAGCAAAGUACCUCCUUUUCUUCGCCCUUCCUGAUUCCUGAUGAUUGACCGUUUCGCUUAGAUACAACCCAUGACUCUUUAACUGCAGUUCUAAUUGCUACCUUCAAAACUAGCGAGAUCCCCUAGCCCCUCAGUGACUUAGCAGGUUAGGACAACUUCGGGGGCACGUUCUCUCUACAUGAGAAUUAUGUACCGCAUGUGUCACAUGAUUAUUUAUAAGUACCGCCUGUAGGCGGUUCAUAGCUAUGAAAAUUCACAACUUUGUCAUAAGGACUAUAGGUUUUUCAUGUAGUAUAUAUCCAGAUCAUCACCCAGGCCAUCAUACCACCUUUCAUACAAUGAGGCCUCUUUCUCCUUGUACCAUUCCACAGUGCUCUUUCGUUCCAUCACAUUCUUCCAUUCAUUCAGUUCCACACACUUCUCUUCUCUAUUUCACUCUUCCAUUUUCUCGCAUCCCAUUCAGUUCCCACUAUGCUUCCUCUUGUCACGACCCAUUCUCGAUUUUGAAUCCUCCCACCAAUUCUCAUCCCCCACACCUGUAAUUCAUUCCUGUCUGUCAUUCUCACGCACUUCCUCCAUUUGCUUCCACAUUCAUUCCACAGAUACACCUUUUUUGCUAUCCUUGUAUCAUCCAUUUUUUUAAACCUAAUCUUGUACCUUAGUGUCCCUUUUGUUUUUAUAAAUCUUUCCCUAAACGUGCUCCAUCCCAUAUCACUUUUCAAAGCUUCUACUGCUGUAUACCUAGGUGCAUUCUGUGCCAUCCUAGCUACUCUAUUCUGCCCCUUUUUUUAACUUUUCAAUUUCAUUUCCAUUCCAUGCAAUCACAUCCAUACCAUACAUAACACCCAGCACAGCCACACUUCCACACUUCUCCCAGUUCAUCGUACUCUCAUCCUUGCUGCACAUCCCAGUUGCCCUUUCCAAUGGUUUAUCAUGCUUAUCUUUUCACUCUUUGCCUUUUCACACCCAUUCAAACUCAUCCACUUCCCUAAGCAUAUACUUGUAUUGUGCCUGUUUCAGCUCAUUCUCUCCAAUUCUCCAUACUGCAUUACUUUCAUCCUCAGACAUAUGCACAAUCAUUACCUUACUUUUCUCACUGCUAAACCUAACUCCAAAGUCUCUUCCAUACCCAUCUACAACAUCCAGCAAACUUUGGAGCUCAUCUGCCAAUUCACUCAUAACCACUACAUCAUCUGCAUAAAACAGCACACAUCUUAUCAUUCCUUACACUUACUUGUGCAUUUAUUCUUCUCUUUCUGGCUGCUGACUCUUCUGGGAGAUGACAUCAUGUGAAACCCUUCUAUACAGGCUGAAAAGGAUUGGUGACACUAUACAUCCUUACCUAACCCCUCUUUCACUCUUCACCCAGUCUGUUUCUAUAUCUCCUAGUCAGUAUUUACCUCUUGUGCCCAUAUGCAUACUGCGUUUACUAUCAUAUAGUAAUAGUAAUACAGUAGGGAAUACAGUAGGAUGUUGUGUACAGUCUAAUUCACCUUGUAGUUAUAGUGACACGCGUGCUUCCUGAUGAAGGUGCGUCAGGUGUGUGACACUCAGGUGUAAUGUCUGUGUGUUGGAAUGUUGAGGUGUUGCCCCCAGCCAUAUGCCUACAAGCCAAGGGAUCUGGUUCAAUUGUUUCUUAGAUAUUUUUAUUCCUUAGCACACAGCAACCACAGAUGUCAUUUCGUCACCAGUAAGUUCAGUGACAGGCGGUGUAGUACUCAGUGGUGGGUGGUGCAGAAGGAUGUUUACAUAACUCCAGAAAGCACACAACAAAACACAUCUCACUCAUUUGUCAAGUCUGUACUAAAACUGUCAACGGAUGAGUGUACCAACCUGCCAAGGAUAAAAUGACAAACUAAUUAUUUUAUUUGGAUUUUAAGCUUGCAAGACCAAAGAAAACAAAGAUUUGACUGCAGCAAACUGAAAUGGUCCUAUAUUUUUGGGGGGUCUUCUCUACUAUUUAGUGGUAUGGAGACCCUCAUGCCAGGUAAAUAUACAGGAAAUGUAAAUGCUGUGGCAUGUUUUUUCUUGACAUGUUAAGUUUGUAAAAAAAAAAGAUAUGGAGAGUCAGACUGUCUUAAAAGUCAAACGGUGCUAUGUUUACAUGGUUUUCUUUGUUAUUUGGUGGUGUCGGGACUCCCAUGCUAGGAAAAUACAGUAAAUAAAUGAUAUGCCACAUU